AAAGAAAAUAAAAUAAAAUGAUAAUUUUUUCUAUAAAUUAAUUAAAAUUAGUUUAUCCCCAAUUUAAAAAUAAUAGAGAAAGUAUAUGAAAGAGUUGUAUAAUUUGUCUAAAAAAAAUUUAUUUUUAUUUUUCUAUUUUAGAAAAAAAAAAACUCUUUAAAUAUAACCUAAAUUUGAUUCUUCCACUCUUUAUACUGUGUUUUAUAUAAUGAUCAAUCAUAAUAAAUGCAUUAGUUCUUUUGUCAUGCCCUACUAAAUUCUCAUUUACAGUACUUCAGUUCUUCACCAAGUAACUAUUUUCAUCCUUUAUAAUAAGCGUUAUAAUUAAUUACAUUUUUUUAAUAUUUCUGCAUUGAUUCAAAACUUGCACAAAUGUCUGCUUUUACUUUAUUUUUCUUUUCUUUCAAUUUUUCAUUUUUUUAUGUAUUAAUACAUAUAUUAAAGUAGUAAAAUCCCACUUCU
rnacentral:lncRNA from 1 species